rnacentral:rRNA from 1 species
UACGUAGGGGGCAAGCGUUAUCCGGAAUCAUUGGGCGUAAAGCGCGUGUAGGCGGUUCCGUAAGUCCGCUCUGAAAGCCCAGGGCUCAACCCUGGGAGGCGGGUGGAUACUACGGAACUGGAGUACGGAAGAGGAGAUUGGAAUUCCUGGUGUAGCGGUGAAAUGCGCAGAUAUCAGGAGGAACACCGGUGGCGAAGGCGGUGGGCUGGGCCGGAACUGACGCUGAGGAGCGAAAGCGUGGGGAGCGAACAGG